rnacentral:ncRNA from 1 species
AAACUUUGUACUGAUUAAAUAUUAGCUUAGGUUAAACUUAUAGCAUGGUAAUUUUUGUGUAAAAAAUUGUUUAUAAUAACUAAUUUUUUAUAACCCAGCAAGAUACAUUAAACUAUACUAGAAAUAGUAAUUUAAUUUAGCCUAUUAUAGCUGGACUAACUAGGUGCCAGCAGUCGCGGUCAUACCUAGCAGCUAAGUUAAUUAUAUUAGGAAGGCUUAAGAAAACAAGUUUUAUAAUCAGGUGAAAUUGUUAUAAAAAAUAAUUUUAAUUUUCUAAUUAAUCGCCCAAGCUCUGACGAUAAACUAGGAUUAGAUACCCUACUAUAUAGAGUGUAAAUCGUAAUCCUAAGCACUAAGACUAAAAAGUUAAAACUUAAAUUACAUGGCGGCAGUUAGAAACUUCAGGGGAACUUGCCAGGUAAAUGAUAACCCUCAAAAUACGCUACUAUUAUUUCGGAGUUUGUAUAUCGCCGUCUUCAGCAUUCAUUUAAGAUGAGUUCGAAAUGUUUAAACAAAAAGACAGGUUAAGAUGCAGCUUAUAUAAUAGUCUAGGUGAGUUACAAUAAAAACUAAUUUUGGUAUUAUUUUGAAAUGAAAUAAGAAAAUUGGACUUGAAAGUAACAGUUAUAAUAAUUAAUAAGUGAAUUACUAAUCUAACUGUGUACAAAUCGCCCGUCGCUUUCAUUGAAAAAUGAAAUAAGUCGUAACACAGUAGGUGUACCGGAAGGUGCACCU